GUCUGCUGGCCAGGCCAACUUAAUUUGCCGCAAAUCGAGCAAAACUGCAGCAAACAGAAGCGAACCGAACAACGCACAAAAUUUUCGCCAGGACAGGCAUGUUAUUUUAAAAACUUUAGAAAAAUUCGGGCUAAAGAAAAAAAAAAGAGAAACACGUAUAGAAAAAGGCUUUGAUUAUGCAGCUAUAGUAUAGUAAAAAAGAUUUAACUCGCGGAUAUCAGCUUUCUAUGCAAAUUGACCAAAUUUAGUAAAAGAGUGAAAAUGAAGUUUAAAAAGCAUUCGCUUUAAUUAAAUCCAUUUGCAUAAUAUGUUUAAGAGCAUUACAACCAUUAAAUUUGCAAAUGCACAAGAGAUUUGUUUAAAAUUUUCGCUGUAUGGAUAGAUGGCCAACAUCUUGUACUUCUCCGUCGAAUUGUUCCCACAAGACUCGUUUGGCAGGCACGGCUGACGUCAGCAGCAUUCGUGGAACACUCGCCCGAAAUGCAUAAACACUUUGCCGACAUGGAUCUGCAGUUGUUUAGACAACUUCUUGUCUUGCAACUCGCAGCUGUAACGAGAAACCGAAAAUCAGCGUUGCACUGAAAUGUGGCACAAGCAGAGUUCUACUGUAUUUUGUCUGGAGAUUUUUUGGAUUUUUUUCCCCUCAUUUACACAAACGUCCUCGUCCAAAAAGCAUCUCAUUUUUGGCAUGUGCCUAAAGUGCAACAUUAAAAUAAGAAUUAUGCGGCAGACGGCGAACUGCAUAUCGCAAAAUGCAAAAUGCAAAAUGCGAAAUGCAGCGAGAAAAGAGAGAAAUAAAAACGUCCAGCGUGCGUAUA